rnacentral:misc_RNA from 1 species
UCACUAGCGACUGUCGGUCCUUGCUGCUAUCUCUACCAUGUCUUUUGCGCACCGUAUUGUUCUCCUCGGCGGGCUUGCCUGCCGGAUUGGACAAUUAUCAAACCAUUUUGUAGUUGCAAUCAGCGUCAGAAAAACAUAAUUAGUUA